rnacentral:rRNA from 1 species
AGAUCGUCGGCUAAGGUCCCCAAAUUCGAGCUAAGUGUCAAAGGAUGUGGAAGCGCAUUGACAACCAGGAGGUUGGCUUAGAAGCAGCCAUCCUUUAAAGAAAGCGUAAUAGCUCACUGGUCAAGCGAAUCUGCGCCGAAAAUAUAACGGGGCUAAGCUCGAUACCGAAGCCACGGGCUUUCGCAAGAAAGCGGUAGGGGAGUAUUCUCAAGGAGACACACGCCGGACAGUAAUGACCGGUAUCGGCCUUGAGAAGAGCUUAGGCAGGCAUGAGUAGCGAUAAACCGAGUGAGAAACUCGGUCGCCGUAAGUCCAAGGUUUCCUGGGGAAGGAUAAUCCUCCCACGGGUUAGUCGGAUCCUAAGCCGAGGCCGAGAGGCGUAGGUGAUGGAAAGCAGGUUAAUAUUCCUGCACCGCCAGGGACGGCGUUGAAGUAAGCGGGGACGGAG